UACGUAGGGUGCGAGCGUUAAUCGGAAUUACUGGGCGUAAAGGGUGCGCAGGCGGCUCCGCAUGUCGGGCGUGAAAGCCCCGGGCUUAACCCGGGGAAUGGCGUCCGAAACUAUGGAGCUGGAGUGUGGCAGAGGGAGGUGGAAUUCCACGUGUAGCGGUGAAAUGCGUAGAGAUGUGGAGGAACACCGAUGGCGAAGGCAGCCUCCUGGGCCAACACUGACGCUCAUGCACGAAAGCGUGGGGAGCAAACAGG
rnacentral:rRNA from 1 species